rnacentral:pre_miRNA from 1 species
AAUAACUUCAUUUUUCAGUUUUUUAAUAUAAUAUUUUGACUCUUCGUGUUAUUUGAAAUUUUUUUACGAUUAAUAUUUUUAUUGUUACUGGAUAAUAAAAUAUGAAUAGUACUUUAUAUGGGACUAAUUUUUUUAGUUUUUUACAAAUUUUUUAAAUAAGACGAAUGAUCAAAUGUUGGACACGGAGAAACA